rnacentral:rRNA from 1 species
UACGGAGGGUGCAAGCGUUGUCCGGAAUCACUGGGCGUAAAGGGCGCGUAGGCGGCCCGGUAAGUAGGGGGUGAAAUCCUGCGGCUUAACCGCAGGGCUGCCUUCUAAACUGUCGGGCUCGAGCACGGUAGAGGCAGAUGGAAUUCCCGGUGUAGCGGUGAAAUGCGUAGAUAUUGGGAGGAACACCAGUGGCGAAGGCGGCUCACUGGACCGGAACUGACGCUGAGGCGCGAAAGCGUGGGGAGCAAACAGG